rnacentral:rRNA from 1 species
UACGUAGGCAGCAAGCGUUGUUCGGAAUUACUGGGCGUAAAGAGUGUGUAGGCGGUGCUCCAAGUCUGGUGUGAAAUCUCCCGGCUUGACUGGGAGGGUGCAUUAGAAACUGGAAUGCUAGAGGAUGGGAGAGGUAAGCGGAAUUCCGGGUGUAGUGGUGGAAUGCGUAGAGAUCCGGAGGAACACCAGCGGCGAAGGCGGCAUCCUGGACUGGUCCUGACGCUCAGGAGCGAAAGCGUGGGGAGCGAUCCGG